GAUACAGGCUAGCGGCGGACGGGUGAGUAACACGUGGGUAACCUGCCCAAGAGAUCGGGAUAACACCUGGAAACAGAUGCUAAUACCGGAUAACAACAGAUGAUGCCUAUCAACUGUUUAAAAGAUGGUUCUGCUAUCACUCUUGGAUGGACCUGCGGUGCAUUAGCUAGUUGGUAGGGUAACGGCCUACCAAGGCGAUGAUGCAUAGCCGAGUUGAGAGACUGAUCGGCCACAUUGGGACUGAGACACGGCCCAAACUCCUACGGGAGGCAGCAGUAGGGAAUCUUCCACAAUGGACGCAAGUCUGAUGGAGCAACGCCGCGUGAGUGAAGAAGGGUUUCGGCUCGUAAAGCUCUGUUGUUGGUGAAGAAGGACAGGGGUAGUAACUGACCUUUGUUUGACGGUAAUCAAUUAGAAAGUCACGGCUAACUACGUGCCAGCAGCCGCGGUAAUACGUAGGUGGCAAGCGUUGUCCGGAUUUAUUGGGCGUAAAGCGAGUGCAGGC
rnacentral:rRNA from 1 species